rnacentral:rRNA from 1 species
UACAGAGGCCACGAGCGUUAGGCGGAAUCACUGGGCUUAAAGCGUGUGUAGGUGGAUCGGUAAGUACCUUGUAAAAUCCCACGGCUCAACCGUGGAACUGCUUGGUAUACUGCCAGUCUUGAGGCACUCAGGGGCGAGCGGAACAGAUGGUGGAGCGGUGAAAUGCGUAGAUAUCAUCUGGAACGCCAAUGGUGAAGACAGCUCGCUGGGGGUGUACUGACACUGAGACACGAAAGCCAGGGGAGCAAACGGG